rnacentral:rRNA from 1 species
UACGAAGGGGGCUAGCGUUGCUCGGAAUUACUGGGCGUAAAGCGCAUGUAGGCGGCGAUUCAAGUUAGAUGUGAAAGGCCCGGGCUCAACCCGGGAACUGCAUUUGAUACUGAAUUGCUAGAGUCCAAGAGAGGGUAGUGGAAUUCCCAGUGUAGAGGUGAAAUUCGUAGAUAUUGGGAAGAACACCAGUGGCGAAGGCGGCUACCUGGCUUGGUACUGACGCUCAGAUGCGAAAGCGUGGGGAGCAAACAGG